rnacentral:rRNA from 1 species
UGGGGAAUAUUGCACAAUGGGCGCAAGCCUGAUGCAGCCAUGCCGCGUGUAUGAAGAAGGCCUUCGGGUUGUAAAGUACUUUCAGCGGGGGGGAAGGGAGUAAAGUUAAUACCUUUGCUCAUUGACGUUACCCGCAGAAGAAGCACCGGCUAACUCCGUGCCAGCAGCCGCGGUAAUACGGAGGGUGCAAGCGUUAAUCGGAAUUACUGGGCGUAAAGCGCACGCAGGCGGUUUGUUAAGUCAGAUGUGAAAUCCUCGGGCUCAACCUGGGAACUGCAUCUGAUACUGGCAAGCUUGAGUCUCGUAGAGGGGGGUAGAAUUCCAGGUGUAGCGGUGAAAUGCGUAGAGAUCUGGAGGAAUACCGGUGGCGAAGGCGGCCCCCUGGACGAAGACUGACGCUCAGGUGCGAAAGCGUGGGGAGCAAACAGG